rnacentral:rRNA from 1 species
AAAUUGAAGAGUUUGAUCAUGGCUCAGAUUGAACGCUGGCGGCAGGCCUAACACAUGCAAGUCGAACGGUAACAGGAAGCAGCUUGCUGCUUCGCUGACGAGUGGCGGACGGGUGAGUAAUGUCUGGGAAACUGCCUGAUGGAGGGGGAUAACUACUGGAAACGGUGGCUAAUACCGCAUAACGUCGCAAGACCAAAGAGGGGGACCUUCGGGCCUCUUGCCAUCAGAUGUGCCCAGAUGGGAUUAGCUUGUUGGUGAGGUAACGGCUCACCAAGGCGACGAUCCCUAGCUGGUCUGAGAGGAUGACCAGCCACACUGGAACUGAGACACGGUCCAGACUCCUACGGGAGGCAGCAGUGGGGAAUAUUGCACAAUGGGCGCAAGCCUGAUGCAGCCAUGCCGCGUGUAUGAAGAAGGCCUUCGGGUUGUAAAGUACUUUCAGCGGGGAGGAAGGUGUUGUGGUUAAUAACCGCAGCAAUUGACGUUACCCGCAGAAGAAGCACCGGCUAACUCCGUGCCAGCAGCCGCGGUAAUACGGAGGGUGCAAGCGUUAAUCGGAAUUACUGGGCGUAAAGCGCACGCAGGCGGUCUGUCAAGUCGGAUGUGAAAUCCCCGGGCUCAACCUGGGAACUGCAUUCGAAACUGGCAGGCUUGAGUCUUGUAGAGGGGGGUAGAAUUCCAGGUGUAGCGGUGAAAUGCGUAGAGAUCUGGAGGAAUACCGGUGGCGAAGGCGGCCCCCUGGACAAAGACUGACGCUCAGGUGCGAAAGCGUGGGGAGCAAACAGGAUUAGAUACCCUGGUAGUCCACGCCGUAAACGAUGUCUACUUGGAGGUUGUGCCCUUGAGGCGUGGCUUCCGGAGCUAACGCGUUAAGUAGACCGCCUGGGGAGUACGGCCGCAAGGUUAAAACUCAAAUGAAUUGACGGGGGCCCGCACAAGCGGUGGAGCAUGUGGUUUAAUUCGAUGCAACGCGAAGAACCUUACCUGGUCUUGACAUCCACGGAAGUUUUCAGAGAUGAGAAUGUGCCUUCGGGAACCGUGAGACAGGU